GGGAAGAGGAGGGAGGGGCAGGGAGAGGGAGGAAAAGGCAGGAGGAAGAACCUGAGAGAAAGGGAGGAACGAGGGAGAAGAGUGGGAGCAGGGAGGAUGAAAAGGAAGAAGAUGAGUGAGGAGGGGAGGAAGGGGAAAUUAUGGCUGAGCAAGUGCAAGGGGGAGCCACAGGUGCGUUAGGAACCCAUACCCCCAAGAGGCUCUAUGAUGUCUAUGAUUCCCUCUGCCACACUCUUCUACCAUGAUGUUCGGCCUCACCUAGAACACUGAGGAAUGGAUCUGGCCUUUUAUGAACGAAGACCUCAGAAAUUAAGCACUCAUCCCCAGAUGACUUUACGACUGUUCUUCCCCAACCAGACUUCAAUCCGACCUGACUUCCAAAAGGGAACUGCUUGCCCCACACUGCCCCCUUCCAGCUUGAAGAAGCCAGAACAGUCGUUGUCCCUUUUCCUUACAGCAGUAAGGAGCUCCUAAAAUCGGGUGGGGGUGUAGCCAGAAUUAGACAGGCUGUCAGUAUAGAUGGGUAAAUCGAGUCAGGUCAGAUCACGGAAGCCAAUUUUGAGUGAGUCUGGGAAGUUGGAGACUGUCCCCUGAAGGAUUGAGAUGUUAAUUCUUUCAGAGCCCUUCCUCCACCCUUAUCAAGAACUUCCCCCUGCUCCACUGUUGCCAAGGUAACGAGUCCCAGAAAUUGCCCCUCCCUACAGGAAGCCAUAAGGUUGUCCUUGACUGCUCCAUCCUGCCCUUCCCCCUCAGCCCACCUGUUUCCCACCUUUUGGGCAUCCCACCAGCAUUUCCUAGGCUUACUCACAUACUCAGAAGAAAGAUAAGGGGAAGAGGGCAGGAGAAGAAAGGAAAUCUAGGACAUAUAAAGAAGGCAGAACACGGGAGAAGUCUGUUACCGCUUUUUAAAUAAACCCUACUUCACAUGCUUGCCUAGGCGUGCAUCGCUAAUGUUCAAAUUCACCCCACCCUAACCCCCUGAUCUCUCAGUGACACCAUUUACCCUGGGGUUAAAACAUCUGUCUGGUCAUCUCCACCCUGAUCUUUUCACCUCUCCCUCUUAUGGGGUGAGGACAGCCUGCCAGAGGCUUCACUCGGAGCUUGUCAGGGUGGGGAGACUUGUUUGUGUCUCAGGCCGUACUGCAGGGCUCCUUAGGUGUGCCUGCUGUUCUGCACCUCACGGGCCCACUCACGGCAGUUUCAAACUGGAGUUUUAAAAAUGGAGUUGCUUAGGCUCAGGCCUAAGGCCAUCCUCACAACAAGAUGUAGGUCCAUCCCCCAAUUUUUUAGCUGCUUGCUUUAGGGUAGCUUCCUUCUUAUUGGAGGCUAAAGUUUAGCUAAGUAAUAACAUAAUGUCCUUCCAGGGGAAGUCAAACACCUGGCAUAAAAUCUGAAACAUCCCAAUAUAUUUAUUUAGAUCCUCCAGAAAUCUCCCUGAGUUUAUUCUUAACGUUGGGGGCCCCCUUGAUUUCUCUUCCUCAGUGGGUGAUUCCAUAAGGCCUUCUCUCAUGGUGGAGAGUGAGGUCAGGCCUGACAACACAUGGAAACAAGGCACUUUCCUGAUCAUCUGUAAUUUCCCAGUAUGUCGACUAGUGGUCAGUCUACACACUGAUUUGAGAGAGAAGCUCCUAAAUGAGUGAAGGAAAAUUCAGGUUUUCUCCUUUAUCAGAGAAAACUGUUUAUCCAAUAUAUUAGGGACAUCUCCCUAAACUUGAGCUUCAUUAUAGUCCAGAAAACCUGUCUCUCAUCACCUGGCUUUGCCAAAGUUAUUUCCGGCCUCCUUUGGGAAAGUGCUAGGGUCCCCGUUUGCCUGUGCCAGAGACCCUGGGAGGAUUCAGACUUAAGGGCGUUACUGCUCUCCUCCCUGCCACUAUAACUCCUGAUUACGAAAACCCAUGAAAAAAAGAAAAUAAUUGUAUGUGUCUUAACCUUUUGUGUCUAAUGCCGUCCUGUAGACUAAAGGGAUCUCCAGAAGGUAAGGGGAACAUCUAUUGGUUGUUGGCGUAUAACAGACACCCCUUUCCAGAGGAGUGUAGUGGAGGGUUAGUUAAAUAGAGUGCCUCCCUCGUGCUGCGGCUUUUGUUUAAAUAUAUUAAGUGCAUCUGAGCACAGAAACAGUAAUGGGAGAUUUUAAACUGGCUGGUGAAGACUGGCUAAGUGAACAGAGGGAACUGGGUGUUUUCUUACUAAUCAUCCCAUGUCUUUCUCUCAGUCUUACAAUCUGAAUU
rnacentral:lncRNA from 1 species